rnacentral:rRNA from 1 species
GACGAACGCUGGCGGCGUGCCUAAUACAUGCAAGUCGAACGCAGUGGGGACGGGUGAUUAACAUUUGGGUAACCUCCCAUCAGACGGGAUAACCCUUGGAAACAGGUGCUAAACCGAUACUGAUUGAUGGACCCGCGGUGCAUUAGCCAGUUGGUGAGGUAACGGCUCACCAAGGCCACGAGGCAUAGCCGACCUGAGAGGGUGAUCGGCCACACGGGGACUGAGACACGGCCCAGACUCCUACGGGAGGCAGCAGUAGGGAAUCUUCGGCAAUGGACGAAAGUCUGACCGAGCAACGCCGCGUGAGUGAAGAAGGUUUUCGGAUCGUAAAACUCUGUUGUUAGAGAAGCGGUAUCUAACCAGAAAGCCACGGCUAACUACGUGCCAGCAGCCGCGGUAAUUC